rnacentral:rRNA from 1 species
AGCGAACGCUGGCGGCAGGCCUAACACAUGCAAGUCGAACGAAGUCUUCGGACUUAGUGGCGGACGGGUGAGUAACACGUGGGAACGUACCUUUUGGUUCGGAACAACUCAGGGAAACUUGAGCUAAUACCGGAUGAGCCCUUAGGGGGAAAGAUUUAUCGCCGAAAGAGCGGCCCGCGUUAGAUUAGCUAGUUGGUGAGGUAAAGGCUCACCAAGGCUACGAUCUAUAGCUGGUCUGAGAGGAUGACCAGCCACACUGGACUGAGACACGGCCCAGACUCCUACGGGAGGAAGCAGUGGGGAAUCUUGCGCAAUGGGCGAAAGCCUGACGCAGCCAUGCCGCGUGAAUGAUGAAGGUCUUAGGAUUGUAAAAUUCUUUUACCAGGGACGAUAAUGACGGUACCUGGAGAAAAAGCCCCGGCUAACUUCGUGCCAGCCGCCGCCGUAAUAC